rnacentral:rRNA from 1 species
CCCUACGGGAGGCAGCAGUGGGGAAUAUUGGACAAUGGGGGAAACCCUGAUCCAGCGACGCCGCGUGAGUGAAGAAGUAUUUCGGUAUGUAAAGCUCUAUCAGCAGGGAAGAAAAUGACGGUACCUGACUAAGAAGCCCCGGCUAACUACGUGCCAGCAGCCGCGGUAAUACGUAGGGGGCAAGCGUUAUCCGGAUUUACUGGGUGUAAAGGGAGCGUAGACGGAGCGGCAAGUCUGAAGUGAAAGGCAGGGGCUUAACCCCUGAACUGCUUUGGAAACUGCCAUGCUAGAGUGCUGGAGAGGUA